GAGGGUACAGCUCAGUGGUAGAGUGCAUGCUUAGCAUGCAUGAGGUCCUGGGUUCAGGUCCCACUACCUCCA
rnacentral:tRNA from 1 species